GGACAACCGCUGGAAACGGCGGCUAAUACCGGAUACUCCGGGAGGGCCCCAUGGGCCUGCCGGGAAAGCCGAGACGGCGCGGGAUGGGGUCGCGGCCCAUUAGGUAGACGGCGGGGUAACGGCCCACCGUGCCCGCGAUGGGUAGCCGGACUGAGAGGUCGACCGGCCACAUUGGGACUGAGAUACGGCCCAGACUCCUACGGGAGGCAGCAGUGGGGAAUUUUGCGCAAUGGGGGAAACCCUGACGCAGCAACGCCGCGUGCGGGACGAAGGCCCUCGGGUUGUAAACCGCUUUCAGCAGGGAAGAUCAAGACGGUACCUGCAGAAGAAGCUCCGGCUAACUACGUGCCAGCAGCCGCGGUAAUACGUAGGGGGCGAGCGUUAUCCGGAUUCAUUGGGCGUAAAGCGCGCGUAGGCGGCCGCCUAAGCGGGACCUCUAACCCCGGGGCUCAACCCCGGGCCGGGUCCCGGACUGGGCGGCUCGAGUGCGGUAGAGGAGAGCGGAAUUCCCGGUGUAGCGGUGGAAUGCGCAGAUAUCGGGAAGAACACCGAUGGCGAAGGCAGCUCUCUGGGCCGUCACUGACGCUGAGGCGCGAAAGCUGGGGGAGCGAACAGGAUUAGAUACCCUGAUAGUCCCAGCUGUAAACG
rnacentral:rRNA from 1 species